rnacentral:rRNA from 1 species
UUGGUUAAGUUAGAAAGGGCGCACGGUGGAUGCCUUGGCACUAGGAGCCGAAGAAGGACGGGACUAACACCGAUAUGCUUUGGGGAGCUGUACGUAAGCGUUGAUCCAGAGAUUUCCGAAUGGGGGAACCCACUAUCUUUAGUCGGAUAGUAUCCUUACGUGAAUACAUAGCGUGAGGAAGGCAGACCCAGGGAACUGAAACAUCUAAGUACCUGGAGGAAGAGAAAGAAAAAUCGAUUUCCUGAGUAGCGGCGAGCGAAACGGAAAGAGCCCAAACCAAGAAGCUUGCUUCUUGGGGUUGUAGGACACUCUAUACGGAGUUACAAAAGAAAGUUAUAAAUGAAGCGGUCUGGAAAGGCCCGCCAAAGACGGUAACAGCCCGGUAGUUGAAAUGGCUUUCCCUCCAGAGUGGAUCCUGAGUACGGCGGAACACGUGAAAUUCCGUCGGAAUCCGGGAGGACCAUCUCCCAAGGCUAAAUACUCCCUAGUGACCGAUAGUGAACCAGUACCGUGAGGGAAAGGUGAAAAGCACCCCGGAAGGGGAGUGAAACAGUUCCUGAAACCGUGUGCCUACAAGUAGUUAGAGCCCGUUAAUGGGUGAUAGCGUGCCUUUUGUAGAAUGAACCGGCGAGUUACGAUUUGUUGCAAGGUUAAGCGGAAAAAGCGGAGCCGUAGCGAAAGCGAGUCUGAAUAGGGCGCAUAAGUAACAGGUCGUAGACCCGAAACCAGGUGAUCUACCCAUGUCCAGGAUGAAGGUAAGGUAAUACUUACUGGAGGUCCGAACCCACGCACGUUGAAAAGUGCGGGGAUGAGGUGUGGGUAGCGGAGAAAUUCCAAUCGAACUUGGAGAUAGCUGGUUCUCUCCGAAAUAGCUUUAGGGCUAGCCUCGAGGUAAAGAGUCAUGGAGGUAGAGCACUGUUUGGACUAGGGGCCCUUCUCGGGUUACCGAAUUCAGAUAAACUCCGAAUGCCAUGUACUUAUACUCGGGAGUCAGACUGCGAGUGAUAAGAUCCGUAGUCGAAAGGGAAACAGCCCAGACCACCAGUUAAGGUCCCCAAAUAUAUGUUAAGUGGAAAAGGAUGUGGGGUUGCUUAGACAACCAGGAUGUUGGCUUAGAAGCAGCCACCAUUGAAAGAGUGCGUAAUAGCUCACUGGUCGAGUGACCCCGCGCCGAAAAUGUACCGGGGCUAAACAUAUUACCGAAACUGUGGAUGAACCUCUUUAGAGGUUCGUGGUAGGA